UCCCCAAUAACGAGGUUCUAGUGCUUCAAUUUUGCAGCUGCCGGAUAGCAAACUUUGGGGUGCUCCUCAUCAUUACGGUUUACGGCCAUGUGUCAAACCUACCGCUAAAUAUAAAGCCACUCAAGGAUGGGAUCGCUAUAUGACUGUGAGGAGUAAUGGGGGACUGAAUCAGAUGCGUACUGGUGUAAGUAAUGACUUCUUUCAUCUAUUAGUCUACUACAAUCCGUGUUUAUUUCUAUUCAUUUAAGAAAGUGCAUGCUCAUAUGCUUCAGCUACUGUGUUAUUAGUGUAACAAAAUAAUGUGGUUAUUAAGGUAGCUCUGCUUGACUAAACAUAGCAUUCUUUUACACUUCCUAUGCAUUUUGCCUUUUCCUUUGUCAUUCUCAUGAGAUUUUGACAUAUCCAUGUUAUUGGUGAAAUAUUAUCUUCUUUUUAUUUUAUUUUUUAUUUAUUUAUUUAUUUUGUUGUAACAAUAAUAAUGAUAAUAAUAAUACUUCAAAAAUUGUUUGGUACUAUUGGCAUGAUUUAACGGUAAUUGAUACAAAUAUGAUAUUCAAAACAAUGCAUAAAAAUUUGCUAAGGGUUGUGAGGGAAUCAAUUGAAAGAAGUUGUGGCUAGAGGGGCAAUUGAGAUCUGCGAUCAUCUUCUCCGUCAAGGUAGCAAUAGGAGAAAGUUACUGCAGUUUGUGAUCUAAUUAUCGAGACUGAGGCCCUUCAUCUUGGGCUUCGAUCUCCUUCAGCUUUUAUUCUUUCUUUUCCACUUUUCUUUUUUCAAUUUGGCUCUCUUUGUUCAAGUCGAGGUGCUCUGUUGUUUCAUUUUGAGGUGAGAUGGCUAAAUAGUUUUUCCAGAAAGAUAAGUGUGGUGGCUGCCAGAGGAGGUGGCAUUUAGAGGAAUAAUUGUGGCUCAGGCAAGAGGCGUGGUGGUUGGUAGAGUGAGGUUCCUUGCUAUGCGAAAUUGCUAAUCUUAAGUUCGUUUGAAGGAAUGUGAUGUGGUGGUGGUUAGUAGUAUGGGUGAGUCCAGUGGGCUGGUGAGAGAGUUGGAAGUGGUGGCAGUGAAGAAUGGGAAGAUGGAGGGGGUUGGGAAAGUUAUUGAUAAUGUAGGAAAUUCUUAAGGGCUGUUGGGUUUGAGAGUAUUUGGGUGUGGUAAGGUGGGUAGAUUCCAUAGUGAGGUAGCAUUAGGAGAUUUUGUGAUGGUCAGUAUCUGAAAGAAGGGUUCAGGGGAGGGAGGGAGCAUGAGAUGCACACAUGGAAGGCAAGUGGGGGUGAUGUGAACAUGAAUGGUGGUUCUUGUGCAGUGGAUGGUGGCUCAGGUCAUGUGUGGUGGUGGUCUCUAGAAUUUGGGUUUCUAAUUUUGAAGGGAAGUAGGGGACAAACUUAGGAUUUGUGAGCCCAGGUAAGAUUGGUUCAGGAUCUUUUGAGUUGUUCUGUCUGAUCGGUCUCUCAAGAUCUUUGGUCUCUACCCUACCCAAACCCGAUUGAAAAAAUGGGAUCACUUCUUAUGGACUCAUUGAGAACUUAGUUGAAGAAGUGACUCAUUCUUGGGCAAGUACGCGGUGGUCAUUUGGUGAUUUAUAAAGGUGGAGUCAGCGUUGGGCUUAAGAUCUAUAAUUUUAGGGUCAUGCCCGUGGGUUAGGAAAGGUGUUGGUAACUUUGGGUUUGGAGGAUGGAUGAGGAUCCGCAGAAGCCUUGUUAUAAUUAGUUGCGUCAGACUGUGGAAUAGGGGCUAGCUUGUGUCGUGGUUUGAGAAAUGUUAGCUAUGGGCCUGUUUUUGCAUCUAUUGGGUUAUUUAAUUUGAAUUCUAGUUCAGCGGAGAAGUCCAAACAUGUGGUUGGGCCAUAUGUUCCAAGGUCUGUUUGAGGUAGGCCUGUGGUGGUUGGGGCAUUUGUUCAAACAAAGACCUAUUGGAGGUGGGCUUGGGGAGAUUUGUUCAAUGAAUAGAAACAUCAUGGUGAUUCUACUACCAGGUAUGUUUGAUUUUCUGGUUUUUGGUUCUGGGGAGGAGAAGAUAGGCGAUGAAGAGGCUCUGAAAUUUUAGGCAUAAUUUUCAGAUAAGCCUAAUUUUAGGCAUCCUAGGAAACCCGAAUUGAAGUCACCAAACUUUAUUAAAAAGUUAUCUAAAAAAAAUAAAAACAAAUAAA